rnacentral:rRNA from 1 species
CCUACGGGUGGCUCAGCAGUGAGGAAUAUUUGUCAAUGGGCGGGAGCCUGAACCAGCCAAGUCGCGUGAGGGAAGACUGUCGUAUGUAUUGUAAACCUCUUUAGACGGGACGCAAUGCCGGGCACGUGUGCCCGUAAGGGUACUUGCCGCAGAAUAAUCAUCGGCUAACUCCGUGCCAGCAGCCGCGGUAAUACGGAUGAUGCGAGCGUUAUCCGGUUUUAUUGGGUUUAAAGGGUGCGUAGGCGUAUUUUUAAGUCAGCGGUAAAAUGUCCGGGCUCAACCCGGGCCGGCCGUUGAAACUGGGGAUCUCGAGUGGGCGAGAAGUAUGCGGAAUGCGUGGUGUAGCGGUGAAAUGCAUAGAUAUCACGCAGAACUCCGAUUGCGAAGGCAGCAUACCGGCGCCCGACUGACGCUGAGGCACGAAAGCGUGGGGAUCGAACAGGAUUAGAUACCCGAGUAGUC